rnacentral:tRNA from 1 species
GGGAGUAUAGCUCAGUGGUAGAGCACAUGCUUAGCAUGCAUGAGGGCUUGGAAUCAAUAUAUAGCAUCUCCU